AGUGAACGCUGGCGGCAGGCCUAACACAUGCAAGUCGAGCGGCAGCGCGGGGGCAACCCUGCCGGCGAGCGGCGGACGGGUGAGGAAUUCGUCGGAAUCUGCCUUUUUGUGGGGGAUAACGUAGGGAAACUUACGCUAAUACCGCAUACGUCCUACGGGAGAAAGUGGGGGACCGCAAGGCCUCACGCAGAAAGAUGAGCCGACGACCGAUUAGCUAGUUGGUGGGGUAAAGGCCCACCAAGGCGACGAUCGGUAGCUGAUCUGAGAGGAGGAUCGGCCGCACUAGGACGGAGACACGGCCAAGACGCCUGCGGGAGGCAGCAGUGGGGAAUAUUAGACAAUGGGCGCAAGCAUGAUCCAGCCAGGCCGCGUGUGAGGAGAAGGCCUUCGGGGUGUAAAGCACUUUUGUCCGGAAAGAAACUCCUGGAGCUAAUAACUUCGGGGAAUGACGGUACCGGAAGAAUAAGCACCGGCUAACUUCGUG
rnacentral:rRNA from 1 species